rnacentral:rRNA from 1 species
UACGGGGGGGGCAAGCGUUGUUCGGAAUUACUGGGCGUAAAGGGCUCGUAGGCGGCCAAUUAAGUCCGACGUGAAAUCCCCAGGCUUAACCUGGGAACUGCGUCGGAUACUGGAUGGCUUGAAUUCGGGAGAGGGAUGCAGAAUUCCAGGUGUAGCGGUGAAAUGCGUAGAUAUCUGGAGGAAUACCGGUGGCGAAGGCGGCAUCCUGGACCGACAUUGACGCUGAUGAGCGAAAGCCAGGGGAGCAAACGGG